GACAGUUUGGCCGAGUGGUCUAAGGCGCCAGAUUUAGGCUCUGGUCUGAAAGGGCGUGGGUUCAAAUCUCACAGCUGUCA
rnacentral:tRNA from 1 species